rnacentral:rRNA from 1 species
AUACGGAGGGAGCAAGCGUUAUUCGGAAUCACUGGGCGUAAAGGACGCGUAGGCGGGUUUGUAAGUCAGGUGUGAAAUCCUACAGCUCAACUGUAGAACUGCACUUGAAACUACAGACCUAGAGUAUGGAAGGGGCAGAUGGAAUUAGUGGUGUAGGGGUAAAAUCCGUAGAUAUCACUAGGAAUACCGAAAGCGAAGGCGAUCUGCUGGGACAUUACUGACGCUGAGGCGUGAAAGCGUGGGGAGCAAACAGGAUUAGAUACCCGCGUAGUCC